rnacentral:rRNA from 1 species
UACGUAGGGGGCGAGCGUUAUCCGGAAUUACUGGGCGUAAAGCGCACGUAGGCGGUCUUUUAAGUCGGGGGGGAAAUCCUGGAGCUCAACUCCAGAACUGCCUUCGAUACUGGAAGACUUGAGUCCGGGAGAGGUGAGUGGAACUGCGAGUGUAGAGGUGAAAUUCGUAGAUAUUCGCAAGAACACCAGUGGCGAAGGCGGCUCACUGGCCCGGUACUGACGCUGAGGUGCGAAAGCGUGGGGAGCAAACAGG